rnacentral:lncRNA from 1 species
AGAGAACACAGCUGGGACAGAUACAGAAGUAAAGCUAAGGUGGAGGCUGCAGUGAACUAAGAUCGCCCCAUUGCACUCCAGCCUGGGCAACAGAGCAAGACUGUCUCCAAAAAAAAAAAAAAAAGGACACUUUUGAGCAUGGCCAGGGACAUCUGGUCACCCAGCCACUGCUAUCUCUGAGCAUCAUGAUGGGUUGAAGAGUCAGUGAGCCGGCGGUUGAGGACCCACUGUGCUUGGGUCCCAUACCUGAUGAGAAAGAAGGGCCCAAGUCCCAGGCCUGCAAAACCACAGCCCUAGAAGGAGUGAGAGCACACAGCCAGCAUGACCCAGGAAACUAGAACUGAAACCCUCAAAGCUGAAAGGUCUAGAUGACUGUCCUUACUGUCCCAACGGGGAGCACACAGCUCUGAAAGGCCAAGGGCCUUGCCCAAGGUUACCCCCCGAGAAGAUCAGAGACUCAAACCCAGGUUCCCAACUCUCAGCUCAGUGUGCGCUGUGCCACCGGUUCCCUUUCAUCUGCAAACCCCCUGCCUAUCUGGAAGGUGUGCACACAGCCUGGAAGCUUGUUAUACUGGAUUGUAAAAAUUGUUCCUUGC